rnacentral:rRNA from 1 species
AACGAACGCUGGCGGCAUGCCUAACACAUGCAAGUCGAACGAGACCUUCGGGUCUAGUGGCGCACGGGUGCGUAACGCGUGGGAAUCUGCCCUUGGGUUCGGAAUAACAGUUGGAAACGACUGCUAAUACCGGAUGAUGACGUAAGUCCAAAGAUUUAUCGCCCAAGGAUGAGCCCGCGUAGGAUUAGCUAGUUGGUGAGGUAAAGGCUCACCAAGGCGACGAUCCUUAGCUGGUCUGAGAGGAUGAUCAGCCACACUGGGACUGGGACACGGCCCAGACUCCUACGGGAGGCAGCAGUGGGGAAUAUUGGACAAUGGGCGAAAGCCUGAUCCAGCAAUGCCGCGUGAGUGAUGAAGGCCUUAGGGUUGUAAAGCUCUUUUACCCGGGAUGAUAAUGACAGUACCGGGAGGAAUAAGCUCCGGCUAACUCCGUGCCAGCAGCCGCGGUAAU